rnacentral:rRNA from 1 species
GAUUUCUGACAGACCGUUGCGGCCCGUGCUCGUUUCGGGCGUGUGUGCCGUGUCGUGUUUGUCAUCCUUCCAGAGAGCUGCGUCUACCAUUUACUUGGCCGGACGUACGCGAUCUGGAUCGAUUACUUUGAAAAAAUUAGAGUGUUUAAAGCAGGCUUUCGCUAUGAAUACAUUAGCAUGGAAUAAUAAUUUAGGACUUCGGUUCUAUUUUGUUGGUUUCUAGGACUGAAGUAAUGAUUGAUAGGGACAGUUGGGGGUGCUAGUAUUCCGCGGCCAGAGGUGAAAUUCUUGGAUUCGCUGAAGACUAACUUAUGCGAAAGCAUU